AUUGAACGCUGGCGGCAGGCUUAACACAUGCAAGUCGAGCGAGCGGCGGACGGGUGAGUAAUGUAUGGGCAACUGCCUGAUGGAGGGGGAUAACUACUGGAAAAGGUAGCUAAUACCGCAUACCAUCAGAUGUACCCAGAUGGGAUUAGGUAGUAGGUGGGGUAAUGGCUCACCUAGGCGACGAUCCCUCGCUGGGCUGAGAGGAUGAGCAGCCACACUGGAACUGAGACACGGCCCAGACUCCUACGGGAGGCAGCAGUGGGGAAUAUUGCACAAUGGGCGCAAGCCUGAUGCAGCCAUGCCGCGUGUGUGAAGAAGGCCUUCGGGUUGUAAAGCACUUUCAGUUGGGAGGCGUUACUCGCAGAAGAAGCACCGGCUAACUCCGUGCCAGCAGCCGCGGUAAUAC
rnacentral:rRNA from 1 species